UCAAGUUUCAACUAGGACGUGAAAAUAAACUGCAAGUAAACAAUUUCAAGGGCAAAUUGAGACUCCACUUAGAAGUCUUGUGUAAUCCACUGUCUUGUGUAAUUUCAAGAGGGCUUUGAAAUAAGGAGGGGAAUGCCAACUCUUCUAAAUUUGCCAGGAAAGGAGAGGUCUGAAUUUCUCCUCGUGAAGAAUGAGGAGUACCCUCCCCCCAUUUGGCUCCACCACCUUCUGCUCCUGUACCAAGAGAGGCAGGCGAUGGGUUAGCCACCUCCAAGACAACUGUGACUUAAUUGUGAUGUGUGACUUGGGCUUUGGGAACCUGCUGGCCAGACAGCAUGACCUGCGAGGCUUGAGGGUGUGGGCUGCGUGUCAGGAGAAGAGGAUCCAGCAGCUGAGAGGCCAGACGUCAGAGAGGCUGGAGGCAGUCGUCCUAGAUGUCACAAAGAGAGCAACACUGAAGCCACCCAGUGGGUGAAGGGGUAUGUGGGGACAGAGGAAUGAUAUAAUUUCUCUUCCUCUAGAUGUCCUCUUAUUCCAAGUACUAGUCCCAUGAGAAGAUGACACCAGCCUACUAAAUAAGAGAGAGACACUAACAGGUUAUAAAAUUUGCUCUUAAUUAUCUACUCUGACAGAAAAGAACAGUGAUCUGGAUCUAAGACAGCAGGGUCCUGUGUGCCAACAUCUUUAGGGUUUCAUUGGUGGUUUCUCCAUUAUCUACACUGGAAUGUUCCUGGACAGAGCUGGGAACCCAACCCUUCAAUGUGCUACCUAGAAUUGCACAAUGGGGUAGCCUUACUCAGCUAACCAAAAACUUGUUCUGUGGGAUACUAACUAGAAUUUGCAAAAUCUCUUCUUAAUAAAUGUUUAUCACAUCCUCCUUCAA